rnacentral:rRNA from 1 species
UCAAGACCUAACAAAAUAUUUAAAUAAUAAAAGCAACUGCUUAAAACUUAAAGAACAUGGCGGUGUCUUAUAAACUCAGGGGAACCUGUCCCUUAAUUUGAUAAUCCACACACUACCCAACCAAUAUUUGCUAAACCUGUAUACUGCUGUCGCCAGCAAGCCUACAUAAAAGCUUGCACCUACAAUACGUCAAGUCAAAGUGCAGUUUAUAUUUUGGAGCUAGAUGGGUUACAACCUAUAAACAGAUACUAAUCAAAUAAAACCCAAGGUGGACUUGACAGUAAUGGAUAAAACCAUAAACAUUUAUCUAAGACAUGUACACAUCGCCCGUCGCUCCCAUAAAAAUG